AGUUGCUGCGCAAGAUGAAGGUUAUAUGUGUCAUCAGGCCAGGAUGAAGGUUGUUAUAUGUGUCAUCAGGCCAGGAUGAAGGUUGUUAUAUGUGUCUUCAGGCCAGGAUGAAGGUUGUUAUAUGUGUCAUCAGGCCAGGAUGAAGGUUGUUAUAUGUGUCAUCAGGCCAGGAUGAAGGUUGUUAUAUGUGUCAUCAGGUCAGGAUGAAGGUUGUUAUAUGUGUCAUCAGGCCAGGAUGAAGGUUGUUAUAUGUGUCAUCAGGCCAGGAUGAAGGAUGUUAUAUGUGUCAUCAGGCCAGGAUGAAGGUUGUUAUGUGUCAUCAGGCCAGGAUGAAGGUUGUUAUUUGUGUCAUCAGGCCAGGAUGAAGGUUGUUAUUUGUGUCAUCAGGCCAGGAUGAAGGUUGUUAUAUGUGUCAUCAGGCCCGGAAGAAGGUUGUUAUGUGUCAUCAGGCCAGGAUGAAGGUUGUUAUAUGUGUCAUCAGGCCAGGAUGAAGGUUGUUAUAUGUGUCAUCAGGCCAGGAUGAAGGUUGUUAUAUGUGUCAUCAGGUCAGGAUGAAGGUUGACACCCAUGUA